rnacentral:rRNA from 1 species
AGUGAACGCUGGCGGUAGGCCUAACACAUGCAAGUCGAACGGCAGCACAGGAGAGCUUGCUCUCUGGGUGGCGAGUGGCGGACGGGUGAGGAAUACAUCGGAAUCUACUCUGUCGUGGGGGACAACGUAGGGAAACUUACGCUAAUACCGCAUACGACCUACGGGUGAAAGCAGGGGACCUUCGGGCCUUGCGCGAUUGAAUGAGCCGGUGUCGGAUUAGCUAGUUGGCGGGGUAAAGGCCCACCAAGGCGACGAUCCGUAGCUGGUCUGAGAGGAUGAUCAGCCACACUGGAACUGAGACACGGUCCAGACUCCUACGGGAGGCAGCAGUGGGGAAUAUUGGACAAUGGGCGCAAGCCUGAUCCAGCCAUACCGCGUGGGUGAAGAAGGCCUUCGGGUUGUAAAGCCCUUUUGUUGGGAGAGAAAUCCAGCUGGCUAAUACCCGGUUGGGAUGACGGUUCCCAAAGAAUAAGCACCGGCUAACCUCGUGCCAGCCGCCGCCGUAA